rfam:Salmonella enterica subsp. enterica serovar Newport str. S09097 S_Newport_S09097_mira454_c237, whole genome shotgun sequence.
AUUCCCUUUUGCCUUGUUAUCGCCCAUAACUACGCCCCCGGUUUGCACACCGGGAAUCC